UCCCUCUGCCCCUCCCCCUGCUCACACUUUCUCUGUCUCAAAAAAAAAAAAAUUUUUUUUUUAAAAAGUGGCUUCUUAGAGAGCUUGUUAUGAGAUAUCUGCAUGAGAAUGGAUAAGAAGGCAGAGUAGAUUGGGAUCUGACACUCUCCCAAGAAAUCUGGAAGGUGAGACAUGGGCUCACAAAUUGUUUUGGCAAAACACUAGGAAAUCUGCUGCUGUCAUCCCAAAGGCAAAUGAUGAGUGUUCUGUGUGGUCCCCAGCAGGCCAGGAGCAAAGGAGAGCUGGAUGGGGUUGUCUUGAGGUCUCUUCAAAUGGACCCUCUUGUAGCUUCAGCUUCCUUGGGGGUAAAGAAUGAGUCACAAGUAAUCUGUUAGAAUAGGGAUGACUUGGCAUGAAUUGAGGGCUACAAGCAAAAUGUCCCCAGUGAUAGGAAUCUCCAAAGAUCCUGUGAAAAGCUCUCUUGUCUGGGCUUACCUGGCUCUGAGUGUGAAAAGCCAGAAUAUGAUGUUACCAAAUCAAGUAAAAAUUCCCCUCUGCUUUUUGUCACUUCUCCAUUCUUGUUCUCUAAGUCCAGGGAGCGUGAAGUCCCAGUUAGCAAGUUGAGGGAAAAGAAGAGAGAGAGCAAGAAGAAGCCAACUACAGUGCCUUCCCUGAAGGGAGAGGGUCUUCCUGAAACAGGCCCCGGGGAGAAGAGAUUUAAUUCUUGUUACUGCAAGGGAUAGAAUAUUCUAUUUUGAAAUGAACUAGGUUGGGUAACUUAAAGUGACCACAGGACUAUUCCUAAAAGAAAGCAGAGUACCACAGGACCUGCUCUGUUUUCAUCUAGUGACGGUGGAAAAAACUUCUUUCAUUAAAAAAAUGAAAGGGUUUCAGGAGACAAAAAGAAAGAAGCAAUUUGAUGACACAUCGUUAUGUAUCGCUAAUUUAACAUAUGGGUUACAGUUAAGUGCUCAUAUAUCAGAAAUUUAAUUCUUUAGAUAAUAAUACAACUCACGGUGGAAAAACAGCAACCAAGGAUCCAACCCAUGUUAUGCUAGGAUUCUACCAUCAGACAUUCAAACUCCAAAAUAGAAGAAACACCUCUGUUAUUUUCAGGUCCCUUUGGUCAUUUCUGGCUCGGGGUGUAUCACGUGGCUUCCUCUCGCUGGCCAAGCGGAGAACAGCCUGAGCCUUGGGACAGAGACUGACAGAAGGAAAUAGCACCAAAGAACAAGAUGCCAAAAUUGCUUUGGGGAAAUACAUUAAAAUUAGAGGUUUGGAUGCAGCCAGGGACCAGAGGCCUGCAAUAUUUGGGGCACAAACAGUAACAACAAUGUACCUAGAGAAGUAUUUAUUUAUACCACAUUUGCAUCUCUUGUCUCUGACAGUUUGUACGUUUAUGUUCUAUUGUUAGCACUUAAAGGAAUAUGAAGGCUUGUUUGGUGGACUGAGGAAUCCGUAGGAGAGCAAUAGUCAUUUUGUUCACUGAGGUAAUUGCUCUCUUCCUUCACAGCCAGUACUGCUACUAGAUUUGGCAAAUUUGUAUUCUAUGGGAGAUUUUUUUAAAACUUUGAUGCUAUUUAAAAUUUUUCCUCAAAACAAUUUUUCCCCUCAGAGAGACUUAAUCUUUCAAUAUUAUACUUCAUAAUUUUUUUUUGCUCGCAUAUUCAACUGAUUAACAUUUAUGGCUUAGCUAAAUAAAAUCUCUGAUCUCUUCAUUAAUAGAAUAUCAUUCAGCAAUGCUUUUGAGCUAAUUUCUGUUAAGUCUCCAUUCUUCUGGAGAUUUUUAAGCGAAGAAAGGGAGAGGAAAAAGUGGAAAAUAAAAUUUUUACUUUCAUCUAGUGUUUGGACACCCUACCACUGAAGUGUAUGCAUUCACAUUGCAUUUAAUUCUUCCAAAUAAAUUCAUAAUUAUUUCUUUUCCCAGUUGCUAGCCAGUGAUGUUAAUCACCUGUAUGUGUAUUUAAGGUCGUGUCCUGUGUUUCUGUAGAGGCUAGAUCCCUUUAUUAACAUCUCUUCAAGUCUUUGAUGUUUUAAAGACCUGACUGAAAUAGCCCUCUGAGGUGCUAGAUCUGAUCAAAGACCACAUAAGGCAGGUUUCAUGGGAAUUGGAAAACUGCCCAAGGACUCUAUAGACCAAUACGUCCUCUCUCCUCCAUUAGUAAGGACCAAAGGAAAACAUGGAUAUAUACUAUGGGAAACAAGAGCUGAGUAUUUCUUUAUCAUAUUGAAUGUUAAUAGUUCUCACAAUUUGGAAAGUUCCCUAUUGAUCCUGUCAAGAUAGGUCGAGUGUCUAAAGUGACCUUCCAUGACUGACUAACUUGCCACUGCAAAGUUAACAGCAGUACUGUGUUACAUGUUUCUUGAGGGCAAGGACUUCAUGUAAAUCAUCUUUGUAUGUCUAGACUCUGAUGAGUGUGCCUGGGAAGUAGCAGGUGUUCAAUAAAAUUUUUGUUAAAUGAAUGAAACCAGCACAUAAAUAACAUGAAAUAGAAAUCAAGUCCAAAAUGGGAACUAAAAUUAGGCUUUUCUCCCCUCCCUGAUUAUAUAGACCAGAGAACUUAUUAUUAGAUCUAGGUUAGGAUAAAAAGAUUAAUGAAAACAAGAUUUGUUAGGACUCAACCGGUAUUACUGAAAUUGUAAUGAUAACAAAGAAAGAGGCAAGAUUCAGUAUAUUGACCUAAUUCUUGAUAUGCAAGCCAAAUAUGGACCACCUACCCUCUUUGUGUGUUUAAUGGAAAACAAAAAA